UAACCUGCCCAAGAGACUGGGAUAACACCUGGAAACAGAUGCUAAUACCGGAUAACAACACUAGACGCAUGUCUAGAGUUUAAAAGAUGGUUCUGCUAUCACUCUUGGAUGGACCUGCGGUGCAUUAGCUAGUUGGUAAGGCAACGGCUUACCAAGGCAAUGAUGCAUAGCCGAGUUGAGAGACUGAUCGGCCACAUUGGGACUGAGACACGGCCCAAACUCCUACGGGAGGCAGCAGUC
rnacentral:rRNA from 1 species